GGGUCAGUAGGUUGGUCGUGCCACCGGUACGUACUGGUCCCACUGAUUCCUCCUUCCUGAAGAACCGUAAUGCCAUUAAUUUGGUGUUGCGGGGGAAACAGGACUGUUACUUUGAAAAAAUUAGAGUGUUUAAAGCAAGCUAACGCUUGAAUACAUUAGCAUGGAAUAAUGAAAUAGGACGAUCGAUCCUAUUUUGUUGGUUUCUAGGAUUGACGUA
rnacentral:rRNA from 1 species